rnacentral:lncRNA from 1 species
AUAAUUAUACCUAACACACAUACUCGUAUAGAAAAUAGAUUUAUACGUAGUGAUUUUACUCGUAUAGAACUGAAAUAAGAUUUAUACGUAGCAACUUUCGUUCGUAUGGAAUUACAAAUACUUAUAUUCAUAGUAUAUGAGACUUAUAGGCAUAUACUUAUUUGGUAAGUAAACUUUUAUACCUAGGGUAUAUAUAGUAAACGUUGGAGAGUCAAAAUUAUACUUUCAAAACUAUACUUUUGAACUUGAGAAAAAGUGUUAUUUUUAUAUGGAGUCAAAACCUGUGAACUCACCAAAUUUAUGUUGACGUAUUUUAAAUUGCAUGUGUUUUCAGGAAGUUGAUAACUCUGAUACAAGAAAUGACGUUACACUGCCCGGUGUUUCCGCCGACGGUCGGGGUGUGACAACGACCAAGGGUAUUGUUGUCCACUUAAAUUAAGCAGCAAGAUCUACAGACAACCUCUAAAUGGUUCAAUUUUAGUUGCACUAGAACGUGAUCCCCACUUCCCAAUAUACCCUAGUUAUCAAGAACUUCCAAAGAACUCCUUACUUUAGGUGAGUAAAAAAUUAUUAAGGAGGAAGUCAGAUUUAGAGAUAGAUGCAUAUGUUGUGUCCCAGGUCGGAUCUCUUUCAAUCACGCAGAGGGGAUCACAUAUGACUAACAGAGACAGAGGGAUUAAGAGGUAGAAUGUUGCAUAUGUUGUGUCCCAGGUCGGAUCUCUUUCAAUCACGCAGAGGGGAUCACAUAUGACUAACAGAGAC